GAUGAACGCUAGCGGGAGGCCUAACACAUGCAAGCCGAGCGGUAUUGUUUCUUCGGAAAUGAGAGAGCGGCGUACGGGUGCGGAACACGUGUGCAACCUGCCUUUAUCUGGGGGAUAGCCUUUCGAAAGGAAGAUUAAUACUCCAUAAUAUAUUGAUUGGCAUCAAUUAAUAUUGAAAGCUCCGGCGGAUAGAGAUGGGCACGCGCAAGAUUAGCUAGUUGGUGAGGUAACGGCUCACCAAGGCGAUGAUCUUUAGGGGGCCUGAGAGGGUGAUCCCCCACACUGGUACUGAGACACGGACCAGACUCCUACGGGAGGCAGCAGUGAGGAAUAUUGGUCAAUGGGUGCAAGCCUGAACCAGCCAUCCCGCGUGAAGGACGACUGCCCUAUGGGUUGUAAACUUCUUUUGUAUAGGGAUAAACCUACCCUCGUGAGGGUAGCUGAAGGUACUAUACGAAUAAGCACCGGCUAACUCCGUGCCAGCAGCCGCGGUAAUACGGAGGGUGCAAGCGUUAUCCGGAUUUAUUGGGUUUAAAGGGUCCGUAGGCGGACUUAUAAGUCAGUGGUGAAAGCCUGUCGCUUAACGAUAGAACUGCCAUUGAUACUGUAAGUCUUGAGUAUAUUUGAGGUAGCUGGAAUAAGUAGUGUAGCGGUGAAAUGCAUAGAUAUUACUUAGAACACCAAUUGCGAAGGCAGGUUACCAAGACAUAACUGACGCUGAGGGACGAAAGCGUGGGGAGCGAACAGGAUUAGAUACCCUGGUAGUCCACGCCGUAAACGAUGCUAACUCGUUUUUGGGCUUUAGGGUUCAGAGACCAAGCGAAAGUGAUAAGUUAGCCACCUGGGGAGUACGCUCGCAAGAGUGAAACUCAAAGAAAUUGACGGGGGCCCGCACAAGCGGUGGAUUAUGUGGUUUAAUUCGAUGAUACGCGAGGAACCUUACCAAGACUUAAAUGGGAAUUGACAGCUUUAGAAAUAGAGCUUUCUUCGGACAAUUUUCAAGGUGCUGCAUGGUUGUCGUCAGCUCGUGCCGUGAGGUGUUAGGUUAAGUCCUGCAACGAGCGCAACCCCUGUCACUAGUUGCCAUCAUUCAGUUGGGGACUCUAGUGAGACUGCCUACGCAAGUAGAGAGGAAGGUGGGGAUGACGUCAAAUCAUCACGGCCCUUACGUCUUGGGCCACACACGUAAUACAAUGGCCGGUACAGAGGGCAGCUACACAGCGAUGUGAUGCAAAUCUCGAAAGCCGGUCUCAGUUCGGAUUGGAGUCUGCAACUCGACUCUAUGAAGCUGGAAUCGCUAGUAAUCGCGCAUCAGCCAUGGCGCGGUGAAUACGUUCCCGGGCCU
rnacentral:rRNA from 1 species